rnacentral:tRNA from 1 species
GCGGGCGUAGCUCAAUGGUAGAGCGUCAGCCUUCCAAGCUGAAUGUUGAGGGUUCGAGUCCCUUCGCCCGCU